UUCUAGGGGGAUGUACAUGUGGAAAGGGCUUGAAGGAAGCUCUGCGCUGCUGUCAAGGGCAGUUUGACUCGUACUGUGCCUUCUUUGGGGGUGAGGAAAAGGGGGUGAAGACUCAAGUGCCCUGAAACCGUAAGAACGGCUGCAGGGGCUGCAGGGGACAGAAAGGGCUCUCUGGCGCCUUUUGCCUCCGUGCUCUGCCUGCCCCCAGUGUGCGUCGCUGCCCCGGGCUGAGCUCGGCGGCAGUGCUGCCGCCUUGUGGACAGAGAACGGUACUGCCGCCCCCCGACCCAGCGCCAGUUUUCCUUCCGGCUGUGAAACUGCAAACAUCGCAGUAUUCCUCUGACACCAGCGGUUCUAGGAAGUACAGGUGUGCUUGUCCCGUAGUUUGGAUUCUGCUUCCUAGCAUUUCUAGUGUGACAGGGUUUACCAUAGAGGCGAUCUGCCAGGAGGCAGCACUUUGCGGGGCAUGUCAGUCCUGGGGGCUGUCUCCAAAGUGACCUACAGACAUUGGAAUGGAAAUCUUUAUUUAUUGUGUAAAAGAAUCACUCUCUGAAGCAUCAGCCAGGGUCUAAAUGUGCCAUUCUGCCUUUUAAAAGUACCAACAUCACAUGAUUUUUCUCAGAUUAAAGCUUCUGUGGAGUUGGAUCUGCCUGGCCCUUGAGAGUUGUGGGCCUCCUGUGAACUGGUCCUGUCAGAAGGGCUUGCUGAGUUUUCCAUUGUGUGGAAAAGAGAUCCCAUUUGGAGCCUGAAGCCUUGUGUUUCCUGUGGGAUUUCCACUCCUAGAAUUGCAAACUUUGCAGGAUUUCUUACAGCAGAAGUUUUCUGGAAACGAGGACCUUGGCUGGAUUUGCGUCUCAGGACUCUCAAGUGAAAUGACCUUGAGACAGCAGGGCGUGCAGAUUUCCGUGCUGUUGAAAAGAGCUAUUGUUCGCACCCAGGAGGGUCUGAACGGGGGUGUCACCUCUUAAAUUUGCAAAUGUCACAGGAUUUCUUCUAAAUGAAUGGUGCUAAGAACAUAAGGUCUGGCUGGCUUUGGACUUAGAGGUGCCUCCUCUAAAUUGAUAAGUGCUCCUGCAAAUGCCAAAUAGCCCUUGCAAUGCAGUUAAUCAGCUUCAAAGUACCAUCAGGUUGCUGCCCCUGCAAAGAUUUUGGCAGGCCCUGGUUGUGGUGUCUCCAUCCCACUCCACUACCCUUAGCAGGUGCUUAUGGUUGCAUGGGGAAUCAUCAUGGAGCAUGCCAACCCAGUUCUAUCCUGGGAAAAGCACCUGUAUUUUACCCUAAAAUUUUUGUCCCAUUAUAACUCCU